rnacentral:rRNA from 1 species
UACGGAGGGUGCAAGCGUUAAUCGGAAUUACUGGGCGUAAAGCGCACGCAGGUGGCUGAGUCAGUCGAUUGUGAAAGCCCUGGGCUUAACCUGGGAAUUGCAGUCGAUACUACUCAGCUAGAGUAUGGGAGAGGGCAGUGGAAUUCCCGGUGUAGCGGUGAAAUGCGUAGAUAUCGGGAGGAACAUCAGUGGCGAAGACGGCUGCCUGGACCAAUACUGACACUCAGGUGCGACAGCGUGGGGAGCAAACAGG